rnacentral:rRNA from 1 species
CUGCCCUUGCCAUCUCUUACCCAUGUCUUUUGAGUACCUUCGUUUCCUCGGCGGGUUCGCCCGCCGAUUGGACAAAACUUAAACCCUUUGUAAUUGAAAUCAGCGUCUGAAAAAAACAUAAUAGUUACAACUUUCAACAACGGAUCUCUUGGUUCUGGCAUCGAUGAAGAACGCAGCGAAAUGCGAUAAGUAGUGUGAAUUGCAGAAUUCAGUGAAUCAUCGAAUCUUUGAACGCACAUUGCGCCCCUUGGUAUUCCAUGGGGCAUGCCUGUUCGAGCGUCAUUUGUACCUUCAAGCUCUGCUUGGUGUUGGGUGUUUGUCUCGCCUCUGCGCGCAGACUCGCCUCAAAACGAUUGGCAGCCGGCGUAUUGAUUUCGGAGCGCAGUACAUCUCGCGCUUUGCACUCACAACGACGACGUCCAAAAAGUACAUUUUUACACUCUUGACCUCGGAUCAGGUAGGGAUACCCGCUGAACUUAAGCAUAUCAAUAAGCGGAGGAA